ACAGCAUAAGGGUACUCUCCUCGAGUAAGAAAGCUGUGAACUGUAUUCAUGCGGAAGUUUUCUUCCUUAAAACAUGGUCAAGAACACCAUUUACAAUACUGAGGCCAAAGCAAAGCCUGCUGAAUACCUGUCCCUUAAAUAAAGCACAUUCUCCUUCUUAAAUGCUUCAGACUCAAAUAAAAUUAAACUCGUGAGAUAAAUUUUCUUGUAU
rnacentral:lncRNA from 1 species